rnacentral:rRNA from 1 species
UACGGGGGGGGCAAGCGUUGUUCGGAAUUACUGGGCGUAAAGGGUUCGUAGGUGGCCUGCUAAGUCAGACGUGAAAUCCCUCAGCUUAACUGGGGAACUGCGUCUGAGACUGGUGGGCUUGAGUGCAGGAGAGGAACGCGGAAUUCCAGGUGUAGCGGUGAAAUGCGUAGAUAUCGGAAGGAACAUCAGUGGCGAAAGCGACUUCCUGGACCAAUACUGACGCUCAUGUGCGAAAGCGUGGGGAGCAAACAGG